rnacentral:rRNA from 1 species
CCGUUGAAUAGAGAGUCUGACGGAGCACGCCGCGUGAGUGAUGAAGGCUUUCGGGUCGUAAAACUCUGUUGUUAGGGAAGAACAAGUGCUAGUUGAAUAAGCUGGCACCUUGACGGUACCUAACCAGAAAGCCACGGCUAACUACGUGCCAGCAGCCGCGGUAAUACGUAGGUGGCAAGCGUUAUCCGGAAUUAUUGGGCGUAAAGCGCGCGCAGGUGGUUUCUUAAGUCUGAUGUGAAAGCCCACGGCUCAACCGUGGAGGGUCAUUGGAAACUGGGAGACUUGAGUGCAGAAGAGGAAAGUGGAAUUCCAUGUGUAGCGGUGAAAUGCGUAGAGAUAUGGAGGAACACCAGUGGCGAAGGCGACUUUCUGGUCUGUAACUGACACUGAGGCGCGAAAGCGUGGGGAGCAAACAGGAUUAGAUACCCUGGUAGUCCACGCCGUAAACGAUGAGUGCUAAGUGUUAGAGGGUUUCCGCCCUUUAGUGCUGAAGUUAACGCAUUAAGCACUCCGCCUGGGGAG